GAUGAACGCUGGCGGCGUGCCUAAUACAUGCAAGUCGAGCGAACAGACGAGGAGCUUGCUCCUCUGACGUUAGCGGCGGACGGGUGAGUAACACGUGGAUAACCUACCUAUAAGACUGGGAUAACUUCGGGAAACCGGAGCUAAUACCGGAUAAUAUAUUGAACCGCAUGGUUCAAUAGUGAAAGACGGUUUUGCUGUCACUUAUAGAUGGAUCCGCGCCGCAUUAGCUAGUUGGUAAGGUAACGGCUUACCAAGGCGGCGAUGCGUAGCCGACCUGAGAGGGGGAUCGGCCACACGGGAGCUGGGACACGGUCCAGACUCCUACGGGAGGCAGCAGUAGGGAAUCUUCCGCAAUGGGCGAAAGCCUGACGGAGCAACGCCGCGUGAGUGAUGAAGGUCUUCGGAUCGUAAAGCUCUGUUAUUAGGGAAGAACAAAUGUGUAAGUAACUAUGCACGUCUUGACGGUACCUAAUCAGAAAGCCACGGCUAACUACGUG
rnacentral:rRNA from 1 species